rnacentral:sRNA from 1 species
ACAGCUGAUCGGGUUCUUGCGGCGAUGCGUCCCGGCGCCGGGGAGUUCCGCGCGUGUCCUCGGGCUGUCCGCGGGGAAGCUGGCCCGGGAGUGGUCGCCCGCCCGCCUCGCGCCUUGCGCCCCCGGCACCGCUUCCAGAAGGGAAAGUCGCCGCCGCUCGCGGUGGACCCGGGCAGCGCUUGCAUUCCGCGGAGCUGAAAAUCUGAAUCUAAUAAAAAUGUGAACAUCUACUACGAGGAAUAUCCACUGCAAUCAUUUUACUC